rnacentral:rRNA from 1 species
ACACUAAAAGCUCGCUCCCAAAAACAACCGAUCAAUUAUAUUAAUCAUAAUUUUUAGAGAAGUACAGGCGAUGGAACCUUAAGAAAGGAGCAAUAGAGAAAUAGUAUCGCAAGAGAACGCUUUUAAUAAAUUUAAGAAGAGAUCAACCCUCGUCCCUUGUGUAUCAUGGCUUAGCAACCUAGUCCAUUAAAUUACCAUUCCCGAAACUCAGUGAGCUACCAAUCCCCAGCUUAGAGCUAAUCAAUUCUUGUGGCAAAAAGAUUGAAAGAGGUUUUAGUAGAGACUAGAUAUCUGUCGCACUGAGUAAUAGCUGGUUUCUGGGGAAAUAUAUCGAAGUAUAGGGGAAAUAGCAAUUCCACCUCUUGCUUAGGGGAUAACCUCUAAGCAAUAUAAGUUCUGCAAUUUAUAACCUUGAUCAUAUUCUAGGCUUAAAAACAGCCCUGAUAAGAAAACAAGUUUCAUUGUAUUGAGUAAUAUAGGUAUAAUUAUAAGUUCGCAACCUUAGAGUACCCAGAAAUUCCGAUCAACGUCUAUCGGAAGAUACUCUGCUAAGACGAGUAUAGAAUUGUUACAGCCAAAAGACCUGUAAAAGAACCAAAAAAAUACAGAUAAGGAACUCGGCAAGACUAAGCUCCGCCUGCUUAUCAAAAGCAUCGCCAUUCGCCAUCAUGAAAGGUAAGGCCUGCCCAGUGGGAAUCUCAACGGCUGCGGUAUCUUGACCGUACUAAGGUAGCAUAAUCACUUGUCCCCU